GGGGAAUUUUCCGCAAUGGGCGAAAGCCUGACGGAGUGACGCCGCGUGGGGGAUGAAGGCCUUCGGGUUGUAAACCCCUGUCAGAGGGAAAGAAGGGUCGGCGCGUGAACAGCGCGUCGACUUGACGGUACCUUCAGAGGAAGCCCCGGCCCACUCUGUGCCAGCAGCCGCGGUAAGGCAGAGGGGGCAAGCGUUGCUCGGAAUUACUGGGCGUAAAGGGCGCGUAGGCGGGAUGGCAAGUCGGUCGUGAAAUCCCUGGGCUCAACUCAGGGGGGUCGGCCGAUACUGCCGUUCUUGAGGGAUGCAGAGGAGACUGGAAUUCCCGGUGUAGCGGUGAAAUGUGUAGAGAUCGGGAGGAACACCGGUGGCGAAGGCGGGUCUCUGGGCAUUCCCUGACGCUGAGGCGCGAAAGCGUGGGGAGCAAAC
rnacentral:rRNA from 1 species